UGCUGUUGGGGGGGCAUUGAUCCGCGACCGGUCAUCGGUCACCUCGCGCGAGCAGCGCGUCGGUCGCGGGGAGCCAGUGGUGAGACCGACCCCGUUCCGA
rnacentral:ncRNA from 1 species